CAUUAUGUAUAUCCCUGUAUCCUCAGGAUUUUUAAGGAAUGCCUGGGGAAAAUGAGGAGAUGAUUCACAAACCCAAGUAGACAGGUUGUGGUCACAAUAAAUCCCACGGAUGUAAUGAUCCAACCAAAGAGUCUGCCAAAAAAUAUAAUAAGUAUUGUUUCAUUCAUACACAGUUUUAUUCAUAUAAUGUAACAACAUAGACUACCAUUUACCAUAUUCUUGUUCUGCUUCAUCAUUUCUAUGUUGUCUUCGUACGGACAACAGUGUAUGUACUUCUUCUUCGUUAUGUCUAGCUGUAUCAAAUGCCAACAACUGUAAAUUUCAAUCGGCGCUAAUAUUGUAUGCAUCACGUCUCAUUUGUCUACUUUCUCGAUCAAGAUUUUCUUCAACUCCGCAAAUUCAAUCAUGUUCAAGUUCCUGUUAGGAGCGAUCCCUUUGAUUUGUUUCUAAUUUCACCAAAUACCAAAGUCAUUGUAAAGUUUCAAAUUAUUUCAAAAAUUUCGUCGUAGAUAAUAUAUUACCAUUUUUAUUGGUUCAAUGAACUUCACGGAAUGAGCGUUUAUUCG
rnacentral:lncRNA from 1 species